UACGUAGGGUGCAGGCGUUAAUCGGAAUUACUGGGCGUAAAGCGCACGUAGGCGGCUUUCUAAGUCAGGGGUGAAAUCCUGGAGCUCAACUCCAGAACUGCCUUUGAUACUGGAGAGCUUGAGUCCGGAAGAGGUGAGUGGAACUCCGAGUGUAGAGGUGAAAUUCGUAGAUAUUCGGAAGAACACCAGUGGCGAAGGCGGCUCACUGGUCCGGUACUGACGCUGAGGUGCGAAAGCGUGGGGAGCAAACAGG
rnacentral:rRNA from 1 species